rnacentral:misc_RNA from 1 species
GUUAGUUGACCACCACUCCGAUGCUUAAAUCAGUAUUAGAACUUUACUGUUGAAGAAUGAGAAUGUCAUCUCUGAUCUCUCUUAAUGACAUCCUCAUUAUUCAACAGUUAAGUUCCAAUACUGACUUAAGAAUCAGAGUGGUGGUCAAGUAACCCACCCGAUAUUCUUUAGUGUUGUCUUGCAGAUCCAAACCCCGAGAUCCAUCAUUUCAUACCCAUAGAAGAGGAGAACAACAUCAACAUCAAACACCUUGUCUUUUAUUUUUAUAUCUUGAUAGUUAUCUCAAUCUCGUGUGGUAAGUUUUCAAAAGGGUUAUAUGAAAGAAUUUCUUUAUCUUGAAACAUUUUGCAAUGGAGAUUUUUUUAUGUGUUGAAAUGACUUGUUGAAGCAUGGAAAGAUGCUUUGCAGUUAAAAGGGUAAAUGCUUUCUUUCUAG